AGCUGCUAAUUGACCUUGUAGAACAAACAAUAUUGUAACUUUAAACAGUAAGAAUUGUAUGAAUACUUUAUCCUUAUACAAUACACAUUUACUCGUAAGUCAAUCUGAAUGUGAAUUAUAGAUGUUUUUCUCAUGAAGUAAGUAUUCCGCACUUACAUAGUUAUUUGUUUGAAUAUUUUAAGGUAUGCAGAGGGUUCUACAGCAACCGGAAACAUCAUCAUCAGUACUAAAACGACUGAAUUGUAUUUAUUACUUCAUGUUUAUACUGUGCUUAUUAGUGAUGUGUUAAAACCACAAAACACUUAAUUGGUUUAUGUACAAACGCAUUUAAUCGUUAAUGGAUUAAAAUGACAAUAUUAAUAUUUGUUAUAAAUAAAUCAAGGUUUAUUUAAUUUUAAUUUAUUUAGUGGUAAUUGUAUCGUUAUAGACUGUUUGUUGACGCUGAGGUAAAUGUAUAAUAAUUAACCUAUAUUUCUUUGUCAUUUUACUUAAGUGCACCUCUAAUAGUCUACGAUGACGAGCCCAAUGCUAAUUCAGUUGGAAAAGCCCCGGACAGACAAACAUCGAUGGACACUAAUCGGUGCAACAAAGUAAAAGACCAUUCAAACGACGACGAGGACUACAUGAAUUUGCGUUUGGGCACCCCACAAAGCAUGGCUGGCGAUAAGAGUGUUGAAAACCGCACUUAUGGGACCACACACUUAGCACAAAAGUCUAUCGAUACAGAGUUGGAACAAGGGAGUACCAACAUAACGAUAGCACAAACGUCUACAAAAGCACCUUUUGCAGCGCGUUAUGGAAAACGCGCACUUAUGCCAGGGGUAGAAGGUGAUUAUAUACAAAUGGAUGCACCAAGACAACCAGCUAAACAUAUGUAUGAGAACACUCAGCUAACGCCGGUUAAAACCGAAUCAAAGGAGAUCAAAGGCGACGAAUUUGAAAAUGAUGACGUGGCAUUGCAGAAGUUUAACUAAACAGUUCGAAUUUCCCUGCCCCUACACCACCCUCAAGUACUGAUGGAGAUGACUACGAGGACACCUAUACAAAAAAGAAGCAUAAAACAUCCUAAAGAACAUUUUAGCCCGUAAAUGAGUUCAUGUUACUAUAAUGUAAUCAGAUACAUGCAUUGUUGGUAGACGAAACAUGCCCGUGUUGAAUACUUAUAGCGUACAUUCAAUAUGACUUUCUGUCUUCACCGAUGGUGUUCAUAACAUAAAUUCUAUGAUAUAACUAGAUCGUGUGAUCGAAGUGAAUUUGUUAUUUCAAACACGAGCUGUCGAAUGGCGUAACUUGCAAUGUAUUAAUGUAUUUUUUUUAGCGUUUGUCUAUCUAGUAUAAAUAGAAACGCGUGUAUUCUAUUUAAAUUAUGCACUUCAACUUAGUCACGUCAUACAUGAAUUAGAUCUAAGCGUUAAACGUAUUAUAUUUGUGUUCAAAAUAUCUUUUCAUUUGUGUUAAAAUUUAAUACAAAUUAUGUCCUAAACGGUGUCUUUCAUACGUUUAGAAUAUAGCAAUAUGUAAUUUGUAUUCGUCCGUUUACACAUUAUAAUUAAGUUUAUGUCAACGUUCCGAAUACCGAACGUAUUACGUUUGGUAUAUUCUUCAUUUUUUAUGAUGUAAAAAUAAUUAUAAGUAAAAAGACAUUAUUAAUUUCUUCAUAUUUAUCCCACUUUUACAGCGAAUUCAGUUGAUUAAAAAGCCGUUGAUUAAAUUUAUGCUAUUAACCCGUACGAAAUUGCGUCAUUUUUUCGACAAAAUGACGCCAUUUUUUCAUGCAAAAUUAUCAAGUUAUACUAAUUUUGUUUUAAUAAAAAGGUUUAAUGAAUCAAACGUGGGAUAAAUAGAAUAAAAGAUUAGUGUUGAAUACAGAUCAGGUUUAUCAUGAUCGGCACGAAAACGAAAAAGCUUUCACCAACGUUCAUGCUUUUUGUUUUCUAAGCCUCGCAUGAUAAACGUGAUCUAUAACCAACACUAACCUAUUAUUCUCUAUUUAGCCGGUUAAAAUUAAGCUAUAAUCAAUUCUGUAUCAAUUCGAACUCAUAGUGACAAAAGCAUCCUCUUUUCGAUUGGGAAAUGUCAAGGUUUUUAGUUAAUAAGGGCAGUCUUUUUCAACUUUUCAAACUGGUCACUUGUUAUCUUAAAAUUGAUGCGUUGAAAAUACGCGAUGUUUUUUCAAUAUUAAUUUUGUCGAAUCUAUGAAUCCUAUCGUGAAAAUAUUUAUUAAUAAGAUUUGACAGAAUCACUGAUCCGUAAAGGGUAAAUAACUUUUGCAGUUCCGGUUCGCGUUUUAUUUACGCGCAUUUCAAAUAAACCGAAUUGUUUCGAGUAGCAACUUUUCCUUAAAAAGUAGUUCCAAACCAACACGUAUAAGCUCAUAAGCUUCUUCAAAUAAUGACCGCUAUUUACUUAGAUUCGAAUGUUGCCAAUAUUUUGGAAAGAUACACAUUUUGACCGUGUUUUAUCAAGACUGAGUCAUACAUACAGCUUCUAGAUCUUUAAUUAAGAUUCAGAUUUGAACACUUACUAGAUAUUAAUAAUUUUCAAGAUAUCUUUCCGAUUGAGACUCUAAUACACUUUCAUUAAGAAUGAGUCAUCAUUAAAUGUUAAUAUUUUUUCUUAGAUUUGGCUGAGUGACCUACUAUUGAACUGACUGCAUGAGAUUUUGACUUGGCCUAUAUAUUGCCUAGUUAAACAGUAUGUCCAAGUUGCAUCAACAUUAUUUGUCCUUCACGUAUAACGUGGUAACAUGUCGAUAACAAGAUUGGUUUAACCUUGGGACUUAGUUUAUGAACCCUUUUGACCAAAAUUUGAUCAAGAAUAUGUAACUUAACAAAACUUACAAAAUUGCGCUGAUUGUGGUAGAAUAGCAUUGCCAAGUUUGUUCGUAUAUGCGAUUGAGACCAGAUUGUUAUUUCAGCUUAUGUGUAACUAAUACAGUUAUUGUGCGUUUUAUAACUUUUGAGUUUGAUUGUAAGUCUUAACACAGUAAUAGAACUCGCAUAUUUUUCUUUCUAUAACAAUUACCUUAAACAUUUGGUCAUGGAUUUAUAUUUGAUAAUAUGUAUUAUAAUUCGCCUUGGUUUUGUGUUUUAUAUAUUUAAUGUGACCCUUCAUAUAAAAACCAAUUUGUACAUUUUGUUAAUAUAUAACAUUGUUUUAUUGAUAUAUGUAUGUAUGUGUGUUUUUAGGAUAAGUUUUUAUUGUAGAAAUCAAGACAAUUAUUUAGUUUUUGAAAGCAUGGCGUAUACAUACAUAUAAUGAGCAUAUAUCGAGCGUAAGUUUAGGAUAACAGGAAAUAUAUGUAUUUAUGUACAUGUAUGUAACCAAAAUGUUAUUGGGUCCAGUAUUACUUGUACAUGAACAUACUUUUUUGACGUCUUUAUUGUUUUUCUUUCACGUUUUAUUAUUCUAAGGCUGUUUUGUUUAUCACACGUUUGUUUCUACUUGAUUGGGCUGUAUCUACGCAUUCCAUUUUUCCUAUUUAAAGUAUUUAUAGUAGAAUUGUUAAUGAUUGGGAUACAUUUAUGCCAUAUACUUUAUUUAUGUGUGUUAACAAUAUUUAACACACGUUGACUUCAAGUAUGAUGCAUGCAUUUCAUGAAAGUACAUUAUUGUCAAAGUAAAAAAAAAAUUAUUCGCAUACAUGUUACACAAUAUGUUUAUGCAUUUUUUAAGUUAAGUCUGCACAAUUUAUUCAUUAGUGUUUAAAGUUAAUUACUUUGAUAUUGUAAAGAUUGUAAACA